CUUCGGGUGAAGGUGGCGGACGGGUGAGUAACGCGUAAAGAACUUGCCUUACAGACUGGGACAACAUUUGGAAACGAAUGCUAAUACCGGAUAUUAUGAUUGGGUCGCAUGAUCUGGUUAUGAAAGCUAUAUGCGCUGUGAGAGAGCUUUGCGUCCCAUUAGUUAGUUGGUGAGGUAACGGCUCACCAAGACGAUGAUGGGUAGCCGGCCUGAGAGGGUGAACGGCCACAAGGGGACUGAGACACGGCCCUUACUCCUACGGGAGGCAGCAGUGGGGAAUAUUGGACAAUGGACCAAAAGUCUGAUCCAGCAAUUCUGUGUGCACGAAGAAGUUUUUCGGAAUGUAAAGUGCUUUCANGUUGGGAAGAAGUCAGUGACGGUACCAACAGAAGAAGCGACGGCUAAAUACGUGCCAGCAGCCGCGGUAAUACGUAUGUCGCAAGCGUUAUCCGGAUUUAUUGGGGCGUAUAAGCGCGUCUAGGGCGGGCUUAGUAAGUCUGAUCGUGACAAUGCCGGGGCUCAACCCCGUAUUGCGUUGGAAACUGCUAAACUAGAGUACUGGAGAGGUAGGCGGAACUACAAGUGUAGAGGUGAAAUUCGUAGAUAUUUGUAGGAAUGCCGAUGGGGAAGCC
rnacentral:rRNA from 1 species